UCCAAAUGUGGGCCAUUACGGGUCGUUUUUUUCAAGUGUACGAGUUUACGUAAAUCGCUAUUUGUCUUUUUCCUCCUCUCUAAACAGUUGGGAACGAUUAUUCUCCGGCGCCUCUCCUUGUCCUACUCUCGCUUCGUCGUCUGUGAAUCGAUUCAGGUUGAGAAGUCAUGUCACGAGCCACGUACAUAGUGGGUGCCCUUGCGGGAUCUGCUGUUGUAGCCUACAUCUGUGACAAAGUCAUUUCUGAUGAUAAGAUCUUCGGAGGGAGUACACCGGGAACUAUAACUAACAAGGCAUGGGGGGUUGCGACUGAAGAGAGGCUCCAAGCAUGGCCUAGAACCGCUGGUCCUCCCGUUGUAAUGAACCCUAUCAGUCGCCAGAACUUCAUCGUCAAGUCACGCCCUGAAUAACUGUCAUUCGUUAUGGAUUUGAUUCAUUUCGAUAUUUACUCUCUAUAUUGCCAUUUUCUUUUGAUUUGAGGAUCGGCUAAUUUCUCUAGCUGGUUUGUAGUAAUAAUUUGUGGGGAUGAUUGGUUGGAUACACAUUGUUCAGUCCAAAGCUUUCUCGAGAUGCAUUGCUUUUUGUAAUGUUUGUUGAUUUUGACGAUAAUAUUGAAACCAAGCCAACAAGACUUGGCAGCUAUAUUUCUUUUGGUA